CUCGGCGUUUCUUCGCCCGGAGUUCUCCAUCCCCAGGAUCCCGGGCUCGCGGGGGCGCGGAGAAGAGGACCCAGGAAAGAAUCCAUGCCUGUCUCUGCGCCGCGAAGGGUUGCCUCACAUGGCCUGGUGAGCAGAGUGAUCCUCCAGCCCGCUCCUCCUGCCAAGGACAGACGUGUACGCUUCCUCAAGGCCAGAGGAGGCACUUGAGACAAAGGGACAAAGAAGGAACGGGGUGACCAUCGAGGAGUUUCAUGUACAACUAACCAUAGCACUUGGCAGCCGUGUGACUUUCAGCCAAGCCCGGCACGACUCUGAACCUCACGGGCAGUGAUGAAGGACUGGGAGGAUGUUCAGACUGCGCCUGCACACAGAGCCUGUACUACAUGCAUGACUAAUAGGAACGAGACUCUUGCUUCCUUGAAGACAUCAUCCUGGCAGGAAGCUGGUGAGCGGAGACUCCUGGGAAAUCCCAUCUGGGGCCCUUGCCUGGAGCCAAGAGGGCCUCCAGCGCCUGCUUGUUUUAUAGGUCCUGACUGGGCUCUUGUUCAGAAUGGCAGCUUUUAGAGAACAGGCCAAACACUUCCCUGUGGCGUUUUCUCUGCAUUGAUCAGGACGCUGUCUGCUCCUUUCUGCCAAGAGGAAAGAAACCAGAAAUAGGAAGACCUUAAGGCCACAGUCCUCAGCUCACCUGGAAUCCCUGGACCACAUGCAGCAUUGACUGGAUGUCAGGCCCCGGGGUGUCUGGAAGCACACUCUAAGGGCAUUGGUAUCUUUGGACAGAUAUGUUCCGUGA